rnacentral:ncRNA from 2 species
UUUUUAAUUUGGAAAACAGGUGCCCCUUCCCGAGGGACAGGGGUUAAAAGGGAAGCCGGUGCGAGUCCGGCGCGGUCCCGCCACUGUAACGGUGAGCUGCCUUACAAAAGGAAAAGGGAACAAUCCAUUUGGAACCGGCAAAAUUGCUUGCCACUUAUUCUGAAAAGGAAUGUUCCAAUCUUAUGUCACUGGGUAUUGACCUGGGAAGGCGUAAGGCAGCAAUGACCCGGAGCCAGGAAACCUGCCUGUUUUCCCCAACGUUA